CAUUAACAAGUACAGUCGAUCCCUUGAGCCACCGCCUUACGUGUUAAUUUAGCUUGGACGCGUAGUACAAGGAAAGUUACUAAGGAAUUCGAGCGACUAUGGAAAUAACUGUCAGAGACCGGUAUUCUCCUCUGGCAGUUAUCGUUAUUGGCUCGUAGUUCUAGUUCUCUGGCAGUUAUCAGGCUACCACCACAGGUAACGUGGAAGCUGGUAACGGAAUAACUGUGUGUCUAGACGUUCCUGACUCGGUGACUCCAGUUAAAGGUCGUAGUUCCAGGUGUUAUUUCCAGAGAGGAUAGUAACUGGAGCGAACAAAUAUUUUCGUACUGCUACGGAAAUGACGGUGGGCCAUUGGGGAGAGGGGAUUGCAAAUAACGCGAAGAGGUCGAGGAUAAGCGAAAUGUGGUCAUAUUUCGAAACUCUUGAUCGAGAGUCUGCGAAAUGUACUUUGUGCGGUAAGAAAUUAUCGUACAAAUCGACGACGACGAAUUUAAAAAAACAUCUUCAGAAAUCACAUUUAAUUGUGAAUUUCUCUUCACAAAUACCUUCGGAGCUAGAUUUGGGUGAAACCCUUCCUGUAGAGGUGAUCCUUGGCACCAGUAGUGUGGAAGAGGAGCGAGAGGCACCCCAACACCAGCAGAUGAGUCUCCGUUUAAUACUUGGGAUAUUAUAACAGUAAGUUAUAGCUCCAGAAGUCAGUCACCAGCAGCAGAUGUCACACAGUUAUAAAAUGGGAAACUUGAAGAAUAAGCUCCAGAAGUCAGCAGCAGCAGCAGCUGCCGUCACACAGCCAUAAUGCGAGAAGCUUGAAGAAUAAUGUGUUAUGGCUCCGAUAGUCUUCCAGCAGCAGCAAAUGUUACACAGUCCUAUAGAGGCAAACUUGAAGUAUAAAGUAAUAGUGUUUUGCAUACAAUGGCAAACUUGACCUUUCGCUUAAAAUGGAGAACUUAAUUUCAGUAUCGGCUUUGAAAUUUGGUCACUGGAUACAGCUAUAUUAUCUUUCAUGUUGAUAGCAGCAAUCAUCAGAUUGCAAUCCAGUUAAGUACCUGUAUGGCAUGAGAUGUCAAAAGUACUUGUGGGUUAUUGGUAGCCUGUGUCAAGGCAUGUGGCACCUCAAAGUUUGUAAGUACAGUAGCAUUUUGUUUUCUGCUUUACUUAAAAAUUGGUAGCUGUAGCACCCAUUCUGACAUUCAAUUAUGUUGAAUUUCAAGUUUCUUAGAAUGAUACUGACAUCAGUUUGUUAACACUAAUCCGUAUAUUAUUGUUAAUAUAUGCUGCUAUUUUCCUCAGAUGUUAACUGAAAUUGUUUUAUUGUUAUGAUAACAACACUUCAGCCUUUGCAAACUUGCAGUAUAGGUUACCUGCUGAGAAAUAUUUACUGGAAGAAAUGGUUUCUUGAAUAGGACCGAAAGGAAAACCACUGAAAAUGCCAAAUGUGAAUUGGUGAAACGUCUUGUGCUCAAUACUAAAUUUCAUUUGCAAAACACGGAAGUUUUCCUAUCUUUGUGGUGGAACACAACAAAUUCUCAUAAUUUUGCUAGUUUGUAUUCUAGAAAGGGUGCCAGAAAUGGAAGAGUAUAAUUUUUAUUAAAUCGGGCAUUAAAUGUAAGUAGGUUGGAGUACAGAAAGGGUACAACUGGCCUUCCCCACUGUAGCCUGAUGUGCUCCAACAUGCAUUUGUACUGAUGUGCAGGUGGUUAUAACACUAGUAUCAAACUGCAUGGUACCCACUUACUAAUGUGACCUACCCUUGCAUGAUCGUCUGCAGACAGCAAGAAAUCCGCUACUGCUCUUACUACCUGUCCAACAGUUGUGGAGGAUUUUUUCCCCUUGGUGCUUGACAUGACAUGUUUUGCCCUCUGCCCUUAAAAUCUCAAUUCUUGUUACAUUUUUCAUCCAUUUUCUAUCUCCUGAUGGACCUGUAUUGAUUAAAAAACUAAUCACUGCAGAGGUGAUUGUAGAACUUUUGCUAGUGGCAGUGUGGAGGGGCUCCACUCUUUAAAAAAUAAAAUUACAUUGUGGGACAUGGAAUUAUUAUUAGAUGCUUUCAUGGACAUUUUGUUUACUGAAAAAGUCAGUCAUUAUCUGAGGUAUUUAAAUGUUAACUUCAAAUCUAAAACUGCAUCAAAAGAUAAAUUUCAGUAAGUCUUUAACAAGUUUCAGUAUCUUGCUUCACAUGUUGAACCCUCCAACUAUAAAAAACAGUGUUUUGUAGAGAACAGCUAUUCAGAUGUUAACAUCCCAGAAUUUAUGUAGAAGAUAUCCCUUACAUUGUUAGUUUCAUUGUGGUCACACUCUACAGUGUAGUGUUAUCAGCAUACAUAUAGAAGUUUGAAGAACAUAUUAAAUUAAUUGCUAGACAUGCCUUAAGUGAAUAUGUUUACUACUAAUAUGAGUCAGCUAAGUAGUUGCUGCAAGUUUUUAUGUUGUUUCUAAAGUGUCUUUAGACAAGGAUAUUUCUGCUGUUUGUUUCCUGUUCUUCUGUUUCAGAUAACUACUCAUAUAUGCAGCAACUGCUGAAGCAGCCUCUGGCAGUUUAUUGAAGUUCCGUGAACAAAGUGUUGUGUGGUCUGUUUGUGUAAAGUGAUAAAGAAAAAUGUUAAAGUGUAAUUGCAUAUGUAAUUGUAUAUAUAUUUAAUCAUUAUUUUUGCUAGUUGUAAGAUCUAUUUUCAUGUAAAUCAGAACAUUGUAUAAUAGGUAACAACCGAAUGAGGCAGUGUAGCUAUUAACAGCACUGACCUCAUAUUCGGGAGGAUGGGGUUCGCACUGUCUGGCCAUCCUGGAUCGCUAAGGCAAAUGCCGGGAUGGUUCCUUCAUCAAGGCCACGGCUGACCACCUGUCCCGCCCUUAAAGAGAUCCUUUAAACAUUGUGUGUAUACCCAUAUUUUGAAUUAUUGAUGUUUGUUGUAUUAUGUUGAGAUAUUCUUGGAUGAAAUAAAAAAAGUUUAUACAUUUGUA